UUAUACAGUUUGUGAAAAAAGUAGCCAUCCCUCUAUCUUAAUUUGGCUUUUACGUCUGAAAAAAAUAUUGUGUGGACUUCCAGUAAGAUUGCUUAUUCUCUUGUUUUCACUCACUCUCUCUCUCUUUAACCAGCAGCAGCUGUGUUGUAGUGUACAGAGAGGAUACCCUGACGUCAGACCAGAAGUAACUAAGCUCUGGUUCCUUUUUAACCUAGUGGAACUGAUAGUGAGUGUAUAGCUUAAGAGUCCCUUCAUUUCAGACUUCUUGGAAUCAGAGUUAAAGCUUUGGAAGCUUGCACAUUGUCUCACAAAACCGCACCUUCCUUGAUUAACUAAGCUGAAACCAGUUCAAGACUCAAUUGAAGCAAUCAAAAGGUUUUGGCCUGUCUCUGAAGAUAAGAAGUUCAGAGCUAUACUUUGGAUCAGUCUAACAAGUAUGUA